GGGGGAACGGAUAGUCAAAGGCACAGCUCACUCUCGGCUGAUUUUAGCACACAUUCUGUCCUUGCCAGGAAAGCUCGGUUAGGCUCAUUUAGAGUUUGACGCUGAGCAAUGGCAGUUGAAUGUUAUUGCAAAAAUCGAAUACGGAUGCACGAUACGCACCUAUGUAUAUAAAACUGCCUAUUUGCUCAGAGAGGAGAGCCGGUGGAAUUGUGGCAUUGCGGAAUUUCCAAAAAAAAAAAAAAAUAACCCGACAGACCAUCUUUUCAGAACAAAAUUACAAUUGCCUAUGACAAUGUGUGAAUAAUAAUAAACUUUUAUUAAUGACAGCUCAGUGUUAAUUGACCAUAAUAUACAACUGUUGUGAAGUGUAGUGUGGAUACGUGUAUAUUUGCUUUUUAAUACUUUUUACUACUAUCGCCUUUGAGUAAUUGUCCUGUCUAAUGAUACAUUAAAAAAUUGCCUCAGAAACGAAUCGAAUAUAAGCAAAGUUUUCUGGUUGGAACAUUUUGAAAGUGAUUGUUAUUACAUAUUUUAAUUAUAAUUUGUUCAGGAACUCCUGCGUUUGCGUGUUGGAAAACAACAAAACCGAAGUCAAUCAAUUUCAUCAAAUGCUUUCAUAUGCUUUAUUUAACAAAGAAAACAGUAACAAUGCCGCGCUUUGAUUUGAACCUUAUUAUUGCCAGAACAGAAAAAAAGCCUUCCUUCCUUAGUGCUAAAUAAGACAGUCUCCUGUUUUUUUCAUUUUUCUCUACACCAUUUUGUACUCAAGAGAGGAGAGUUGUCCCAUUUGUCGAUUGUCGUCUUCUCGUUUUUUUUCGUUUUUACAUUGCCAAACUUAUGCAAGCUGAGGGUGGAUUGUAUCGGCCGAGAGCAUGGCCAACCAUUUUGUUUUCUUUCACUUGCAAAACUCGUUCCACCCACCGUCACCAACACAAUCAGAUGAGGAUCCGAGGCAUUAAUUGAGGCCUUAUUCGGCAUGACUCGGAGCCCAACGCUGAUCUGUCGUGACUGCUGUUGUCAGCCUGCUUUAUAUACAGACCAUGCAAAAUGAAGUGACUGAUCCAAACCAUCCUUAAGGCAAGGCGUCAUAACAAUUUUAAACUCUGCUGGAGUUGCUUCAAGAAGAGAGAGUAGAUGUAAAACAAAUUUUUAAGACAAAUGGAAACGAACCAUUUUCUAUACUUCUGAACAAAAAGCGACAACAUAUCUACCGUUCUUUGUUCUCUCCUUUUCUAUUGUUUUUUAUAUAUCUCAUGACAAGUGCGAGCAACAUUUAGAUAGUUAAUCUAGAAAUAAAUUAAAACCCACACAAAAAGAGACGCUUCGUACGCGUCAC